CCCCUAGAUGUUCUGGGCCGCACGCGUGCUACACUGAGUAAAUCAAUGGGUAAGGGAACACGAAAGUGCAACCUAAUCUUGAAAUUUGCUCGUGAUGGGGAUCGACGGUUGCAAUUUUCCGUCGUGAACGAGGAAUACCUUGUAGGCGCGUGUCAUCAUCACGCGCCGAAUACGUCCCUGCCCUUUGUACACACCGCCCGUCGCUCCUACCGAUUGAGUGAUCCGGUGAGGCUCUGGGACCUGGACGGAAAGAGCGUUUCGCUUGUUCUGUUUGGGAAACUUGGUCGAACCUUAUCAUUUAGAGGAAGGAGAAGUCGUAACA
rnacentral:rRNA from 1 species